AAAACAAAAGCUUAAUCCCGGAUAUUGUUUUUUUAUCGCAAGAUGAAAAUAGAAAAGGAGCUCUCACAGCUUUCACUAAAAAUGGGGGUGCGGAACAUUAGUUAGUUGGUAGGGUAAUGGCCUCCCAAGACGAUGAUGUUUAGCCGGGCCGAGAGGCUGUACGGCCACACUGGGACUGAGAUACGGCCCAGACUCCUACGGGAGGCAGCAGUAAGGAAUUUUCCACAAUGAGCGAAAGCUUGAUGGAGCGACACAGCGUGCAGGAUGAAGUUCUUCGGAAUGUAAACUGCUGUUAUAAGGGAAGAAAAAAUAGAAUAGGAAAUGAUUUUAUCUUGACGGUACCUUAUUAGAAAGCGACGGCAAACUAUGUGCCAGCAGCUGCGGUAAUACAUAGGUCGCAAGCGUUAUCCGGAAUUAUUGGGCGUAAAGCGUCCGUAGGUUUUUUGCUAAGUCUGGAGUUAAAUGCUGAAGCUCAACUUCAGUCCGCUUUGGAUACUGGCAAAAUAGAAUUAUAAAGAGGUUAGCGGAAUUCCUAGUGAAGCGGUGGAAUGCGUAGAUAUUAGGAAGAACACCAAUAGGCGAAGGCAGCUAACUGGUUAUAUAUUGACACUAAGGGACGAAAGCGUGGGGAGCAAACAGG
rnacentral:rRNA from 2 species